GAUGAACGCUGGCGGCGUGCCUAAUACAUGCAAGUCGAGCGAACAGAUGAGGAGCUUGCUCCUCUGACGUUAGCGGCGGACGGGUGAGUAACACGUGGAUAACCUACCUAUAAGACUGGGAUAACUUCGGGAAACCGGAGCUAAUACCGGAUAAUAUAUUGAACCGCAUGGUUCAAUAGUGAAAGACGGUUUUGCUGUCACUUAUAGAUGGAUCCGGGCGGCAUUAGCUAGUUGGUAAGGUAACGGCUUACCAAGGCAACGAUGCGUAGCCGACCUGAGAGGCUGGUCGGCCACACUGGAACUGAGACACGGUCCAGACUCCUACGGGAGGCAGCAGUAGGGAAUCUUACGCAAUGGGCGAGAGCCUGGCGGAGCAACGCCGCGUGAGUGAUGAAGGUCUUCGGAUCGUAAAACUCUGUUAUUAGGGAAGAACAAAUGUGUCAGUAACUAUGCACGUCUUGACGGUACCUAAUCAGAAAGCCACGGCUAACUACGUG
rnacentral:rRNA from 1 species